GUCGUCAACGUCACAGCCGUUCUUCUCGUCGUCGGCGCCUCUGUCUGGUGAGGCUCUGCAAUUGGUAAUAUCCGAAUGCAAACUGAAAGCUAAGAUUGUGGACCUUUGUGAGAAAGGUGAUUCAUACAUUAGAGAG